rnacentral:lncRNA from 1 species
CAAACCAGAAUCAGUAGAUGGCAAUAAAUAAUUAAGAUUAGAGAAGUAACUAGUGAAACUAAAAUUAAUAAAUUCAAAGAAUCAAUGAAAUCAGUGUUUCUUGGGAAAAAUAAACAAGAUCAACAAGCCCUUAGGUAGACUAAACAACCAAAACAAAGAGGUUGAAGAUUAAUGGAGAAGUUUCAAAUUAGCAAAAUUUGGAAAGAAAGGGGAGACAUUAAAACAACUAACAAUGAAAUUCAAAAUAUCUAGGUAGUGUCUUAAAAACAUAUAUUUCAGCAAAUUGAAAGUCUGGAAAAAUCUGUGAAUUCAUACAUGCAUAAAAGCUACCAAAAUUUUAACCAAGACUAGAUUAACAAUGUAAUAUAUCUAUAAGCAGCAAGAAAAUUGAAGUAACAACUAAAAAAGAGAUUCCAGCUGAAAACAUUCAGUGUUGGGUGCAUUCAUUGUUUAAUUCUCUCUAGCAGACUAUUAGAGAAGGGUCCUUACAGGAUCUUUCAGAUUGUCCAUAAAAUAAUACAAGAAACAGAAGCAAGCUUGAAAUACCAUAGGCAAAUCAGUAGAGGUGAGUCACCACAGAAAUGAACUCAAGGGCAGAAGUCUCAUAACCAUCUUCAUAUCCACAAAAGAGACUUCUAGCAAGAUUCAACAUCUCUUUAUGAUAAACAUUGCUGAACAGACAAAAAGUAGAUGGGGUGUGUAUUAGUAUAAUAAAGACUAUGUAUGACAAUGAAAUAAAAGGGACUUAAUAGGGCUAGAGAAAUGUCUCAGCAGUUAAGAUCACUGACUGCUCUUCUAGAAGUUCUGAGUUCAAUUGCCAGUAACUACAUGGUGGCCCACAACCAUUUGUAACGGGGAUCUGAUGCCCUCUUCUGGUGCUGUCUGAAGACCCAUAUACACAAAAUAAGUAAAUAAAUCUUUUUUAAAAAGCGGGGGAGGGGGUCUUAAGAGAAAAGAGACAUCUUUAUCUGCAUACCCUAUGAUGUACAUAUGAGACCCUAAAGACCCCACCAGAAAACUGAGUGUAAGACACAUUCAUCAAAGUAUCAAGACACAAAAUCAAACUAGAAAAAAUAGUGGCUUUGAGAUGAAGCAAUAGUCAGUGUGCUGAAAAAGACAUAAGACAAGUUUUCUUCCCAUUUAACAUUACAAAGACUACCCUCAGGGAAAAAACUUACCAAUACAUGAAAGACGUGACAGGGAAUACUUUAAGUCAAUGAAGACAAAACUGAACAAGAUGCCAGACAAUCAAAAGACCUCUCAUGCUUAUUGACUGGAAUCAUCAUUUGGUUAAAUCCGUUAUGCUGCCAAGACAACCUGCAAAUGUAAGGCAAAACCCCAGUAAUAUUCUUAAUACAAAAUUUUGAAAAAAAAUCUUAAAAUUCAUAUAAAAAUUAUAAAAUACCCUGGGGUCAAAGAACGAGAGUGUAGUGUCACCAUACCUGGUUUCAAGUUAUGAUAGAAGCAACAAACUUAGAAGAGUACAAGCUCAAAGUCAUGUGGCAUCAUGGAAUAAAGUAGAAAAGCCAGAUAUAAACACACACUGCUACAUCCAUGUGAAUUUCACAAUGAUGAAAAAAAUUAUAUAUACACUGACUGAAAGACAAACUCUUCAAUUAGUCAAGAUGAGAAACUCAGUACCUCCAUGUAGAAGAAAGAAUCCAGGCACCUAUGCCUCACACUGGAAAAUGUAAACUCCAAGUGGAUCAAAGAUCUUAAUGUAAGUCUUGAAUCCAUUAGUGAAUUUAGAUACUCACAUGGGCAAUCAUUUUUUUUAAUAAUACUCCAAUUUCUCAGAAAAUAAUGACAAUAAUUGAUUAAUGGGACCUAAUGAAAUUAUAUGGUUUCUAGACAGCAAGGAGACUGAUAAGUAAAAGGUACAAAAAAAUUCUUUGAUUCUUUUUUUUUCCAUUUUUAUUAGGUAUUUAGCUCAUUUACAUUUUGAUAUAACAACUAUACAAACUAAACAAUUUAUUAAACAGGCCAAUAAAUGGACUGAUGUUUCCCAAAGGAUAAAAUAUAAAUGUCCAGUAAAUGUAUGAAAAGAUGUUCAACACAACUAGCUAUCAGAUAUACUAGUUUUAUUUAUUCAAUUUUUUUGUUUUUUAUUUGUUUCUGGUUUUGUUCUCUUUUUUUGCCAUAAAGAGUAACAAAAUCAUGUCAUUUUCAGGAAAAUAGAUGCAACUGGAGUUAAUCAUAUUUAGC